rnacentral:rRNA from 1 species
UGGGAAUAUUGGACAAUGGGCGCAAGCCUGAUCCAGCCAUGCCGCGUGAGUGAUGAAGGCCCUAGGGUUGUAAAGCUCUUUCAGCGAGGAGGAUAAUGACGUUACUCGCAGAAGAAGCCCCGGCUAACUUCGUGCCAGCAGCCGCGGUAAUACGAAGGGGGCUAGCGUUGUUCGGAAUCACUGGGCGUAAAGCGCACGUAGGCGGACUUUUAAGUCAGGGUGAAAUCCCGGGGCUCAACCUCGGAACUGCCUUUGAUACUGGAAGUCUGGAGUCCGAGAGAGGUGAGUGGAACUCCGAGUGUAGAGGUGAAACUCGUAGAUAUUCGGAAGAACACCAGUGGCGAAGGCGGCUCACUGGCUCGGUACUGACGCUGAGGUGCGAAAGCGUGGGGAGCAAACAGAUUAGAUACCCUGGUAGUCCACGCCGUAAACGAUGGAAGCUAGCCGUCAGGGUGCAUGCAUCUUGGUGGCGCAGUUAACGCAUUAAGCUUCCCGCCUGGGAAGUACGGUCGCAAGAUU